rnacentral:tRNA from 1 species
GCCUUCAUGGUGUAAUGCUCAGCACGCUCGAUGCGUAACCGAGAGGUCCGCGGUUCGAUUCCCGGCGAAGGCG